ACAUGUCACAGACGGUGUGCAUAUUGAAAACUUGUGAAAUCAUUCAUGAAAUCCAUAUAACUUUGAAUUUCUCAUUCAAAUUUUGAUGACUAAAUCUUAUUUUGCUCAACAUUAAGCCUGUUUAGUUUUAUUUGUCUAGACUAUGCAGUUACUAAGAUAUUUACGUCUCAAAUGAUAUCAAAUAUUUUGAAACACCC